UACGGAGGGUGCAAGCGUUAAUCGGAAUUACUGGGCGUAAAGCGCACGCAGGUGGCUGAGUCAGUCGAUUGUGAAAGCCCUGGGCUUAACCUGGGAAUUGCAGUCGAUACUACUCAGCUAGAGUAUGGGAGAGGGUAGUGGAAUUCCCGGUGUAGCGGUGAAAUGCGUAGAUAUCGGGAGAAACAUCAGUGGCGAGGGCGGCUACCUGGCCCAAUACUGACACUCAGGUGCGACAGCGUGGGGAGCAAACAGG
rnacentral:rRNA from 1 species